rnacentral:rRNA from 1 species
GAUGAACGCUGGCGGCGUGCCUAAUACAUGCAAGUCGAGCGAACAGAUAAGGAGCUUGCUCCUUUGGCGUUAGCGGCGGACGGGUGAGUAACACGUGGGUAACCUACCUAUAAGACUGGAAUAACUCCGGGAAACCGGGGCUAAUGCCGGAUAACAUUUAGAACCGCAUGGUUCUAAAGUGAAAGAUGGUUUUGCUAUCACUUAUAGAUGGACCCGCGCCGUAUUAGCUAGUUGGUAGGGUAACGGCUUACCAAGGCAACGAUACGUAGCCGACCUGAGAGGGUGAUCGCCCACACUGGAACUGAGACCCGGCCCAGACCCCUAGGGGGGGCAGCAGUGGGGAAUCUUCCGAAAUGGGCGAAAGCCUGACGGAGAAACGCCGGGUGGGGGAUGAAGGGUUGCGGAUCGUAAAACCCUUUUUUUAGGGAAAAAAAAAUGUGUAAGUAACUGUGCCCGUUUGGACGGUACCAAAACAGAAAGCCACGGCUAACUACGG